rnacentral:rRNA from 1 species
GAUGAACGCUGGCGGCGUGCUUAACACAUGCAAGUCGAACGGGAUCCCAGGAGCUUGCUCCUGGGUGAGAGUGGCGAACGGGUGAGUAAUGCGUGACCGACCUGCCCCAUACACCGGAAUAGCUCCUGGAAACGGGUGGUAAUGCCGGAUGCUCCAGUUGACCGCAUGGUCCUCUGGGAAAGCUUUUGCGGUAUGGGAUGGGGUCGCGUCCUAUCAGCUUGAUGGCGGGGUAACGGCCCACCAUGGCUUCGACGGGUAGCCGGCCUGAGAGGGCGACCGGCCACAUUGGGACUGAGAUACGGCCCAGACUCCUACGGGAGGCAGCAGUGGGGAAUAUUGCACAAUGGGCGCAAGCCUGAUGCAGCGACGCCGCGUGCGGGAUGACGGCCUUCGGGUUGUAAACCGCUUUUGACUGGGAGCAAGCCCUUCGGGGUGAGUGUACCUUUCGAAUAA